GUUGUUUUAUUUGAAAUUAGAGUUAAUGUAAGGACUCCUUGACACAAAUUGUUUUUGACUGUCCAUCUACAAGAGUGUGACACUUGUACUAAGAUUUGAAUGUGUUUGUUCCAGAGUCGUCUACAAACACAGAGUGACGUCCAGAGCUCUGCUGGAGCUGUGGGGAAGUUCAUGAAUGUUAUAGUUGAUGUUUCAGAAAAAAGGAAGAUGUUUGAGAACCAACAAAACACAGAGCACAGAUGAACAAAGUGAUGUGGCAUUAGGAGACUUUAUACCAGAUGCCCUCCCUGUUACUGUGUUUAGAGGAAGAAAAGCAGCACAUGGCAGAGACCAGAGCUUCUUCACUGGAAUAAAUCUUCACACUGUCCAGCUCCAAACUGUGUGUCUCUGUCCCUG